rnacentral:rRNA from 1 species
GACGAACGCUGGCGGCGUGCCUAAUACAUGCAAGUAGAACGCUGAAGGAGGAGCUUGCUUCUCUGGAUGAGUAGCGAACGGGUGAGUAACGCGUAGGUAACCUGCCUGGUAGCGGGGGAUAACUAUUGGAAACGAUAGCUAAUACCGCAUAAGAGUAGAUGUUGCAUGACAUUUGCGUACAAGGUGCAAUUGCCUCACUACCAGAUGGACCUGCGUUGUAUUAGCUAGUUGGUGGGGUAACGGCUUACCAAGGCGACGAUACAUAGCCGACCUGAGAGGGUAAUAAGCCACACUGGGAACAUAGCGCGACGCAGACGACUACUGGAGGCAGCAGUAGGGAAUCUUCGGCAAUGGACGGAAGUCUGACCGAGCAACGCCGCGUGAGUGAAGAAGGUUUUCGGAUCGUAAAGCUCUGUUGUAAGAGAAGAACGAGUGUGAGAGUGGAAAGUUCACACUGUGACGGUAUCUGACCAGAAAGGGACGGCUAACUACGUG